rnacentral:rRNA from 1 species
GUAGGUGGCAAGCGUUGUCCGGAAUUAUUGGGCGUAAAGCGCGCGCAGGCGGUCCUUUAAGUCUGAUGUGAAAGCCCACGGGCUCAACCGUGGAGGGUCAUUGGAAACUGGGGGACUUGAGUACAGAAGAGGAAAGCGGAAUUCCAAGAGUAGCGGUGAAAUGCGUAGAGAUUUGGAGGAACACCAGUGGCGAAGGCGGCUUUCUGGUCUGUAACUGACGCUGAGGCGCGAAAGCGUGGGGAGCAAACAGGAUUAGAUACCCUGGUAGUCCACGCCGUAAACGAUGAGUGCUAAGUGUUAGGGGGUUUCCGCCCCUUAGUGCUGCAGCUAACGCAUUAAGCACUCCGCCUGGGGAGUACGGCCGCAAAGGCUGA